UUUUUUUUUGUGGUGAAUUUAAAAUAAUCGUCUCUCGGAUCACCUCUUUGGCUGUGGCCCCUCCUCUUGCCGGCCCUGGAGUAUGGGAUGACGCCACCUUCGCUCCGCCCCAUGGAAGCUCGGCCUUCGCGUUCAUUUCAUUCCUUGUCUCAUUCCGAGCAUUCUUCACAUCCUUCUCUGUGCGCUGCCGAUUCACGUACACACACCCGGCUGCACCAGAAACACAAGAAUAACUUUACACAGUUUACAAAACUAUACAUUACAUACAAGGAAAAAGGGGGAAAAAUUAAACACAAAUAACAAUACUAGCAGAGUGGAGGUUGAGAGUCGCUGAGGCUGGGAGUUGCAGAUUGCAGUGGAUCAUUUUCAGGGCUCGGCAUAAACAUUGUUUCCGAAAGGAGGACUUGUUGCACCGCCGAGAUAAUCCGCGUUUUUCUCCUUCCUUUGUUGUUUUCAUCACUGUUUCUCUUUUGUAGGCUCCAGGCUUAGGCUUGGAGAAACCAGCCGUCAUCAUUGACCCCAGCAGCUGGAGUGGGAGCGAAAGCCCUGCCGAAGACAUCGAAAGGCUGAGUGACUCCGCA